UCAGCCAGGCAUACAAGAAAAGAACAAGCUGACUAUGCUAAAGCACUCCUGGAGCUGAGCCAUCUAACAAACACGGGAAACAUUCUGGGAGAUAAAACGCUCCACCAAGCAUUCUGAGACAAAGGGUUUGUUUAUAAGAUGGGGAUUUUUCCCAGUAUUUUAAGUUUCACUAGACAAUAGACGGGUGCUUUCCUGAAUGAGGAUGCCUUCCGUCUUUUCUAUCACUCCACCAUCUUUUCCUCAUGACUAAACUGAGGUGAUAAGAUGAAACACAUCAAACAGAGGCUUGUUCAUCUCUUUUGUUUAAACGUAAGUUACGCAUGCCAGAAAUAAAACCUACAAGUCUCACUGUUUUGGGAGGCUGCUGGGAGCCAAGACCAGACUAAGAGGUCAGACUGAGGAACAGAGAGGUUUCCCUACAGCAGAGUCAACAGCUUCAAAACCAAACCACUUAAACGUUUUAUCACAGUGAUCUGACAUUAAAAUGGAAGACUUAAAAUAAUUUUCUUAGACUAGAGUAAAACAAAUGUAAGUAA